UGACCCGUCUUGAAACACGGACCAAGGAGUCUAGCGUGUGCGCAAGUCAUUGGGAUAUAACUAAACCUAAAGGCGUAAUGAAAGUAAAUGUUCGUCUUGCACGGACAAAGGGAAGACGAAUGGUUCUUAACGGGACCGUUCUGCACUCCCGGGGCGUCUCAUUCUUAUUGCAAGAGGAGGCGCACCAAGAGCGUACACGCUGGGACCCGAAAGAUGGUGAACUAUGCCUGGUCAGGACGAAGUCAGGGGAAACCCUGAUGGAGGUCCGUAGCGAUUCUGACGUGCAAAUCGAUCGUCGGAACUGGGUAU
rnacentral:rRNA from 1 species